GACUAACGCUGGCGGCGUGCCUAACACAUGCAAGUCGAACGAGUAGCAAUACUAGUGGCAGACGGGUGAGUAACGCGUAGGUAAUGUGCCUUCUUGCUGGGGAUACCGUUCCGAAAGGAGCGCUAAUACCGAAUGUGACGGUGUCGGGGCAUCCCGAUAUCGUUAAACUUUCAGGCGAGAAGAGCAGCCUGCGUUCUAUCAGCUUGUUGGUGGGGUAAGUGGCCUACCAAGGCUACGACGGAUAGCCGGUCUGAGAGGAUGAUCGGCCACACUGGGACUGAGACACGGCCCAGACUCCUACGGGAGGCAGCAGUGAGGAAUAUUGCGCAAUGGGCGAAAGCCUGACGCAGCGACGCCGCGUGAGGGAUGAAGGCC
rnacentral:rRNA from 1 species